rnacentral:rRNA from 1 species
GACAGAGGGUGCAAACGUUGUUCGGAAUUACUGGGCGUAAAGCGCGUGUAGGCGGUCGUGCAAGUCGGGUGUGAAAGCCCAUAGCUCAACUAUGGAAGUGCAUUCGAUACUGCGCGACUCGAGUCCCGGAGAGGAUGGUGGAAUUCUCGGUGUAGAGGUGAAAUUCGUAGAUAUCGAGAGGAACACCGGUGGCGAAGGCGGCCAUCUGGACGGUGACUGACGCUGAGACGCGAAAGCGUGGGGAGCAAACAGG